AUAGAUAAAAAAUUUAAUUAUAAAAAACCAACACAACACAAAUUAAUUCAUGAUGUCCUUUUUUUACUCAAAUACAAAAACAAUAAUGAACUUCAGUAAAAAAUGAGCUCAACUCUCAACUGUGCUCAACUGAGACUAUGGUUUUCACUCUCGCUAUGUAAAACAAUUGGAGCUCAGGUCAAAUUUUUCGCAUAUUCUUCCUCAUUUGGCGUGUAUCCCUUGUACAGGCAGCAUUUGUGCACACGUACUGUUUACUAUAGUAUUGUGACCAUGUUCUCAUUGAAGGAGAUUCUCCUUCCAAGCAAUAACCCUCCUCUCUGUUCUCUCGUCUCCCUCAUGCCAGCUAUGACUUUUUUGCCCAGGCGGUGAGGAUUCUUGACAGUGUGGAGAAGGAACUCUCUCAUGCUGCUGAAAACACCAAUUCCCAGAUGUGCUGCUUCUAGGAUCAGAGCAACUGAGUUUUCAGCCAUCAUGUGCCAUCAUAAUUUUUCAGCCAUUAAGUUAAGCCUUAUGUGAUCCAAGAUGGCGCCGCAGAUGGCAGCCUCGGCACGACUGUCUCUAGUACUUUCUUUCUUUUUGUUUAUUGUCUGUGUGUUUGGUUACCCUACCCUGAUAACUUACACUAGAGGAGAACAGUUUUUACAAACCUCUAGGAGCUCUUAGUUGGAGGAGCAGCUGUUCUCUAUGGUACAUGAAGGAGACACUUACAUCAGGCGGAUCGCAUAACGGAGCUAUCAGGCAAAAAGAAAAGGCAGCGGAAUCUGCUUUUACAUAAACAAAUAUUGGUGUACAGAUGUCACAGUGCUGGAUAAAUACUGCAGCCCAAACUUGGAUUCACUGUUCAUAAACUGUAAACCAUUUUAUUCACCACGGGAAUUUUCCUCAUUCAUUCUGACUGGAGUUUACAUCUCACUGCAGGCCAACGUGAGUGAUGCACUGCAAAACCUGGCAUUUCAAAUAUCCGGCUUGGAGCAGAAACACCCAGAUUCUCUUUUUAUUAUCCAUAGAGACUUUAACAGAGCAAAACUAAUACUUGAACAUUCAAAAUACAGGCAGCAUAUUAAUUGUCCCACAAGAGAGAAAAACACACUGGAUCAAUGCUACACCAUUCUUAAGGAUGCAUAUCACUCUGUACCCUGGGGGAGCUUUAGAGAACUCCGAUCACUGCUUGGUUCAUCUUAUUCCAACAUACAAAACAGUGAAGAGAUGGACCAGUGAGGCAAAGCGGGAACCAAAAGACUGCUUUGACUGCACUGAUUUUGAGGCUGGAACUGGCAGCCUGGAUGAACUGACUGACACUGUGACAUCUUACAUCAGUUUUUGUGAUGACGUGUGUGUGUGCCAACCAAAACCUUCUGCAAAUUCAGUAACAACAAGCCAUGGUUCACAGCCAAAAUGAAAAAACAGAGGGGAGGACAAAGCACUGUACUUUCAGGCCAGGAACCUACUGACAAAAGAGAUCAGAAUAGCCAAAAGAAGCUACUCUGAAAAGCUGAAAAGCAGGUUUUCAGCUACGAUCCUGAAUCAGUGUGGAAAGGCCUGCAAUAUAUCGCAAACUACAGGACACCCCCUCCCCACUGAAGCAAACAAAGACCUGGCUGACAACCUCAACACCUUAGGUUCACACUGCAGGUUCAAAAACAAUAUCUUCACACCUCUCAUCCAACCCAGCCCACUGUCUGCCCGCAUCACACCUCUGGGAACCCCUCUAACAACUCCUCCCAGCACUCAAGUUGCGCUCACGAUUUGUGAAGAGGAUGUGUAUCGGCUCUUUCAGAGACAGAAGACAAGGAAAGCUCCCGGCCCAGACGGUGUCUCCCCCUCCUGUCUCAACGCAUGUGCUGACCAACUGGCUCCUAUCUUCACCUAUAUCUUCAACAGAUCAGCUGUGUGAGGUCCCCUCCUGUUUUAAAGUCUCCACAAUCAUACCGGCCCCCAAGAAAUCCUCCAUUACUGGACUGAAUGACUACAGGCCUGUUACCCUGACAUCUGUCAUCAUGAAGACCUUUAAAAAGCUGGUAUUGGCCCACUUAAAGAUCCCAGCUGCUGGAUCCCCAACAGUUUGCCUACAGAGCAAACAGAUCGGUGGAUGGGGCUGCACUACAUUCUGCAACACUUUGACUGCCCAGGAACAUAUGCCUGGAUUCUGUUUGUCGACUUCAGUUCGGCUUUCAAUACAAUAAUUCCAGGAAUUCUUCACAUUUCAAACUCCUAAACCUCACUAUACCCCCUGCCAUCUGUCAGUGAAUCACCAGCUUCCUGACAGGCAGAAAACAACAG